rnacentral:rRNA from 1 species
UAAGCGGAGGAAAAGAAACUAACAAGGNUUCCCCUAGUAACUGCGAGUGAAGCGGGAAAAGCUCAAAUUUAAAAUCUGGUGGUCUUUGGCCAUCCGAGUUGUAAUUUAGAGAAGCGUCUUCCGCGCUGGACCGUGCACAAGUCUCCUGGAAUGGAGCGUCAUAGAGGGUGAGAAUCCCGUCUUUGGCACGGAUGUACCAGGGCUUUUGUGAUGCGCUCUCGAAGAGUCGAGUUGUUUGGGAAUGCAGCUCAAAAUGGGUGGUGAACUCCAUCUAAAGCUAAAUAUUGGCGAGAGACCGAUAGCGAACAAGUACCGUGAGGGAAAGAUGAAAAGAACUUUGGAAAGAGAGUUAAACAGUACGUGAAAUUGUUGAAAGGGAAACGCUUGAAGUCAGUCGCGUUGCCCAGAAAUCAACCUUGCUUUUGCUUGGUGUACUUUCUGGUUAACGGGUCAGCAUCAAUUUUGACCGGUGGAUAAAGGUCAGGGGAAUGUGGCAUCUUUGGAUGUGUUAUAGCCCUUGGUUGCAUACAUCGAUUGGGAUUGAGGAACUCAGCAUGCCGCAAGGCCGGGUUUUUAACCACGUACAUGCUUAGGAUGCUGGCAUAAUGGCUUUAAUCGACC